rnacentral:lncRNA from 1 species
UAAUGUUUCCCAUAUUGAUCAUGGACUGACCAAAGCUAUCAAAGAAGUCGCUUUGGCUAUUAGCAAAGCGGUUCACAAUGGCAACAGUGUCUCCGCUAGUUGAGAAUAGCUCCUGAUCCGUUUGGAGAAGCCCGCGCUUGUUUUGGAGGUUUGUGAAGUAGUUGUGGUCGAACUCGUCACGCGUUGAUUGGUCAAGGUCCGCCAAUGUACCUCCAUUACCGCCGUUAGGACAUAUUUGCCGUAGCGUUUCUAAGUAUGUUGUGUCGAUGGUCGGGUCGGGGUUCCCCGUGCCACUGAAAUUGUACAGACGGUGGACGAAAGUAAGACAUCUUGCCCGCCCAAAUGUAUGAGCACCUGAGAAACCAAACGGUCACAUAUCUUUGCAAAUUUGUAUAUUAAAGCUAGUGAUCAGUUAUAUAUAUACCUGAUAAAGCAACCAGAUCAGUCGAAUCUAAUCCUACGUCGCUGAAUUUUUUUGUAAUUUGCUCAAGGUUUUCAAAAGGGCUUGGAAUGGCAGUGGUACCAGAUUGGUUGGCUGUCCUACUGUCUCUUCUUCCCAAUUGAACUUCCCACGUUGGGCCUCCAUUCUGUAACAUUCAUAAAUAAAAUAUAUAAUUAAUGACAAGAAAGAAAUAUAUAUAUAUAUAUAUAUAUAUAUAUAUAUAUAUAUAAGAAACCAUUAAUGUAAAUACGAAUAAUACUCCAUUAAUUAACUGAAGUUGCAAUUAAAAUAAUAUAUAAUUAAGAAUAAUAUGUAUGUAUGUUACCGCAGAAACCAAUAUUUGAGAAGCAAUUGCUAAAAUGUCGGCACAGGAGACAACACCAGGGCAAACAUUCUCGAGUGCAGUUUUGAUGUCAUCAACCACAUCAUAUCCAUCUGUGGAUUGAUUGGGACGUGCAUCUUUCUCACUCUCUAUGCCAUCUGCGUUGUCCAGCAUAAUCGAACCAUCACAACCCUGCAUCUUUAAUUAAUUAAUUAGUAUUUCACAUAGUUAACAUUACAAACAUCUCAUUAUUUAGACAAAUCACAAUUUGACACAAAUACAAAAAGAAUUUUCUUUUGUAUUUUUACGUACGUACGUUGACAAAGCAGUCGUGGAAAUGAACCUGGAUGAGUUUAGCACCAAUACGAAUAUCAUUUUGUUGAGCUUGCUCCACCACACCACGAACAACGCUGGUUACAUUUGGGCAUGUGGUGGUAUAGAAAGUUGAGCUUAGUUGAGCGUUGGAAUUUCCCAACACACAAAUAGUAAGAAGAAUAAUUGCUGCUACAAUUGAAAAUGAUGAAGACAUGAUGGUAAGAGGAAAACGAAUGUAAGAGGUUGCUGUAGUUAGUAGCUCUAACUUGGGAGAUGAGAUGGGAUGAUUGGAGACUAAUAUCUCUACCCUUUUAUAGGGAAAGUAUAUUAUUAUUAGGUGAGACGGUGCACGGCAUUUUAGUUAAAGAAUUUUCAAAAGUCCAGUGGAGGGGUCAAAUAUUUUACUGGAGAUAUAUGUAUGUAUAUUCCAAUGUCAAUAUAAUCUUGUGUCUAUUCUCCUUCGCCGUAGUCUUUGUAUCCAAUUAAUUCAUGUAGCGGAGCUGGUCACGAAGCAAUGAUUGUGCACUUGACGUGGGGUUUAAGACACUUUUUUUCCAAGUUCACAAUUAAUGCCUGGUUUUCAGAUCCAUAUAUAUUUUGGAGAAAAUGUUCUUUACACUUUCUACGUAGCACGUAUGAGUGUGAUCAGAUUUACCAUGAUGAUGAUUAAAUAAUAUAAAUUAUUAUAUUAUGAUAUAUUGGUAGUGUGUGUGUAUGCGAGAAAUCUCCAUUCUAUUGUAAUUUAAACUAUCAUUUAUAUUAGACUAUCGUCUGGACCAAAAUUUGAAGAAUUUAAUUAUAAUGGAAGUUAAUAAUGUAAUAUGUGGACCUUAAUGAUUAGAUCAAUAAUUAGUGUUGAUAUAUUUCAACAUGAAGUAGCUAGCUAGAGCAGUCAUGAACGUUUCUUUCUGGGCUAUACUUGUUCAAAUAUCGGAUGUAUGCGUUGCAGGAGAUCUAGGAUGUACAUAUAUCGAGUCUAGCAUUGUAGAAAUUCUGUAUAUGUAGUCAAUAAAAUCGAAAGACUUCAAUUAGACUGUCAAACCGCGUGGUAUAGUUGUGGCCACACCCACACCACAUCACUUUAAUUAGUCUCUGUAUCAUCUCAUCUCAUCUCAUCUCUCAAAAGGGUUGAUCUAUUCAUUCCUUAAAAUAUAGUAAUAUUAUAUAUAUAUAUGAAGAGUUAUUCUAAUCCUGCUUCUCUGUGUUCAAAGUCACUGGUCAUCCUACUCUGUGUUUGAAGUUUGCUUUCCAAUUCUGUAACUCUUUCAGUGUUUUUCUGUAUUUUGAGUCCUUUCUCUUAACCCAAACAAUAUGUCCUAGAUUCCAAACAAUAAGUCCCAGGUGAGGCAUGAGCGGAGAGAGAGAAAACCCCUCAGUUUUCAGGAAUUCUUGAACCCGUUAUAGAAUUUUAAGCUUUCCUUCUUACCCUUCGUAGAAAAACCAGUAACCUUUGUCCAAAUGAGUCGCCUUUUUAGAACAAACUCUUGUAACAGUAGUAGUUCUAGAGCCAAUAUUAGUAAACUCCCAGAAAUUGAAAAUGAAGAACAGAUAGAAUACGAAACUAGUAAUGAAAUUGACUACAAAGAUUGGAAUAUCCCCAAAAUCCCUAGUACAUAAAUUUACAAGAAGAAAUGGUUAUUUUCUAGUUUCAAAAGUACAACCCAUGUGAAAACAGUCGAACAAGUCUAUGCUUUGAGUAAAGAACACGAAACAUGACAAUUAUUAAACCUUGAGUCAAUAAAGAAACAUAAGAAUGAUGGAAACAAUUUCCUUCAUAUUGGUCUCGUCCAAGUGGCAGUCAAACCCCUUACCAGGUUAGGAUUAAAUGCUUCUAUUUUACUUUGCCUACGUGAUGCCAGAUUUACCAGCUUUAGUGAUAGUACCCUAGUAAUUAUUGAGUCAAGUCUAUUUAAUGGUCCAAUUCACUUUGAUUGUUACCCAGAUUUCACAGUCAACCUAAGUGAUCCCCAUAUACUAAAAACUCUGACAUUAAAUAUAAAAACUUCAGGGUAUAAAGUCUUACCAGGUACCCAACCUCUAGCCUUAGUUUACAUAAUUUAUUAUAAAGUCACAGGAACUAAUAUGAAUUUCCAAGCCCUUAAUAAAAGUCCAAAAGACCAAACCUUGCUUAUUCAUAGUAGUAAAGCCGAUGCUAAUAUAAGAGUCCCUCAUACAAUUAAAUGGUCAGAAGUCACUUUACCUCUAGAUUGGACACUAACAAUAGAAAAUCAAUCCACUCCUAUCCAGCACAAUUUAAAUAAUUUAGAUUAUAUUCAACAAUAUUUAGAUGGUACAGUAAAAAUAAAUUUUGGAAAUCAACCCCACAAGUCCCCAGUCCAAAUACAACAGCCCCCAACAGCUAGUCAAUCCCUUAGACAUACUCCUGCUAGACAUUCCUUUGCAGCCUCUUCCUCUACUCUGGAAAGAGACCUAGAGUUAGAAAAAACGUUAAUUGAUUUAAGAAAAACCUCCCAGGUCAACCAUCCUUGUUAUGGUAAGAAACCAAUCAAAGAAGAUGAAAAAUCAGAUUCCCCAAACUCCCCCACACAAACUGAUUUUGAAGCCGAACCCAUUCCAGUAGACAAUCAUUACGAACCCUUAAUAAAGAAUUUAAAAUUCAUUGGAAAAUCUUAGAUAACCAUUUACAUGCCCCUAAAAAUCUGAAUAAAAGAAAUAAUUAUCACAAGGCCUACCCAAGUAAAGAACAAAGACAACAAAUUUUAAACGAAUGGAAAAAUUUCAUGAAGAAUACUAAGUCCGAAAUAUUUUACCUUGAUUUUGUUGAAGGUCACUAUUUGUCCAAAGAAUUAAAAACUUUAACCCAAGAAAAAUAGAGAAAAGAGGAUAAUACCGAAAUUCUAGCCAGUCAUCCUCCUACUGAAACAAUAGUUAUGAAGAAUACUAAGUCCGAAAUAUUUUACCUUGAUUUUGUUGAAGGUCACUAUUUGUCCAAAGAAUUAAAAACUUUAACCCAAGAAAAAUAGAGAAAAGAGGAUAAUACCGAAAUUCUAGCCAGUCAUCCUCCUACUGAAACAAUAGUUAUCACCCAUAAAAAUACUAAACUUCUGGCAAGUCCUUUCAAAAUUCCAGAACAAAAUGAUAAAAAAAUAAUUGAGCAAAAUAAUUAUACAAACCAGAGUAUAAUAGUCAUUGGAAAACAAUUAGAUAAGAUAGAAACAAAAAUUGACAAAAUAGUCCCUCAACAAAUAUCCCUUAAGUCCCAAAAAGAAAAACCUUUAGUAAAAUUCCAAGAUCUAAAGUCAAACCCCACUCUCAAGUCAAGUCCCACAAUGAAAAAGAUUGAAGAAAUGCUUAAACAAUUAACCCCAAUUAAAGAAAAACCUGAAGUUUCUGGUCUCAAAGUCCUUGAGUCUUCCAUUUUAGUUAAUACCUCUGAAACAGAGUCUAUAACCAGUAACGAAGUGGAUUAUACUAAUAUAUCAAAAAUUGCGGAUGCCUUUAAAAAUUUAGAAAUAGAUAGUAAUCUGAAGCUUAAUAGAUUAAGGAACAAAGUCAAUCCUACUAGUCUAACAAAAACUUGGUAUCCCAAACCAACCCUUCCAGACAUUCAGUUUGAAGAAAGAAAUUAUCAAAGUCAAUUCUUAAUCUAAUCCGAUAAAUUAUAUGAAUGGAAUAUUGAUGGCCUUUCCGAACAAGAAAUUCUACAUAAACUUCAACAUAUGUCUAUGGUAGUUAAUAGAUACAUCACCAAUCACAAUUUAAGACAGUUAGAAAUUGUUCCCCUUUUAGAAACAGGAUUCAUUGGAACAUUACGUUCUUGGUGGGAUAAACAUUUAAGAGCAAGUCCACCCCAAAAGGCAAAGGCAAGGCAAAAGCAAGGCAAGCGCAUGCCACCAACCCCACAAGUCCCCAGUAAAAAUAAACUUCAGGGUUGGUGGCAUGCGCUGGACAUGCUCUAACUGAAGAGUCAAAACGGUAAAUCACACAUGCAGUAAAGUUAAAUGAAGAAGGUCUUCAUAUUUUUUAUGAACGUUUAGCUACGAGCAUAGAAGACGGAGUCAAUACCUUGUUAUAUACGAUUAUUGAACAUUUUAUAGGUACACCCAGUAAUACUAGACUAUCAUCUAGUAUUAAACAAUCAUUUAUAUUAGACUAUCGUCAGGACCAAAAUUUGAAGAAUUUAAUUAUAAUGGAAGUUAAUAAUGUAAUAUGUGGACUUUAAUGAUUAGAUCAAUAAUUAGUGUUGAUAUAUUUCAACAGGAAGUAGCUAGCUAGAGCAGUCAUGAACGUUUCUUUCUGGGCUAUACUUGUUCUAAUAUCGGAUAUAUGCGUUGCAGGAGAUCUAGGAUGCAUAUAUAUAUCGAGUCUAGCAUUGUAGAAAUUCUGUAUACGUAGUCAAUAAAAUCGAAAGAUUUCAAUUAGUCUGUCAAACCGCGUGGCAUAGUUGUGGCCACACCCACACCACAUCACUUUAAUUAGUCUCAUUAUCAUCUCAUCUCACAUCUCUCAAAAGGGUUGAUCUAUUCUUUCCUUAAAAUAUAGUAAUUAUAUAUAUAUAUAUAUAUAUAUAUCAGUCCCGAUCUCUUGGACCACAGGAGUCUAAGAGAUUGUGGUCACCCACCGUUGGAUAUUAAUCUAAUGGUAUAAAAAAGUUUAUUAAAAUGAGUGCGAGAGUGAGUGAACCGUUGAAUUUACAUCCAACGGUGAGUGACCACAAAUUUCUUGGACCCCUGUGGUCCAAGAGAUCAGGACUAAUAUAUAUAUAUGGCACUAAUUUUCUCACUCUCUUUUUAUCUACUUACAUUCUAUUUUUAAAAAAAUUGUAUGUUCUCACUCCUCUUUUGUUCACUUAAACUCCCUUUUAUCUUGUAGUAAAAAGUAUUAAAAAACAAAAGGAAGUGUAGAUGGAUAAAAGGGGAGUGAAAAAAUAACCACCCAAAAAAAAUAAAAUAAAAUAAAAUAUAUAUAUCCCAUAUAUAUCCGAGCUCGCCUCCUAAAUUUGACUACCAUAUAAAUGUGAUCAAAUACAAUCCAAGUUUAUAACAUUUUCUGAUUACAACGUUCUUUGAUCUUAUGCAAUGAUCAAUUAAGGUAGUGACAUAAGAUUUAUGUAUAAAUAUUGUGCAAAUUCAGAAUAACAUCCAUACUUGAAAAAAGAAAAAAAAGAAAAAAAAGAGUCGAAAAAAUAAGAGUCAUCCAUUUGUGCUCUCCAGCCUCUCCUUAAUUUGACUUUAUUAUUUCAUUAUAGUAGUUUAACGGUUAUCCAGAUAAUGUUAACUAAACUUAUCACAUUUAUAUACCACAUUGUGUACUACCUCUCCUUAAUUCCAUUACUUUAUUUGAAUGUCCAUUGGUAUGCCAGGCAGUACCAAGACAUAUAUAACAACAUGCAUGUUAUGAUGAUGUUUUAGUUUUACACCAUGCAUAUACAUGGACAACUACAUAAUAUGAUGAUUUCAAUUGACUCUUCUGCAAUCAGACCUAAUCUCUCCAUCACUGCCCGUCAAAGGUCUAAUGUUUCCCAUAUUGAUCAUGGACUGACCAAAGCUAUCAAAGAAGUCGCUUUGGCUAUUAGCAAAGCGGUUCACAAUGGCAACAGUGUCUCCGCUAGUUGAGAAUAGCUCCUGAUCCGUUUGGAGAAGCCCGCGCUUGUUUUGGAGGUUUGUGAAGUAGUUGUGGUCGAACUCGUCACGCGUUGAUUGGUCAAGGUCCGCCAAUGUACCUCCAUUACCGCCGUUAGGACAUAUUUGCCGUAGCGUUUCUAAGUAUGUUGUGUCUAUGGUCGGGUCGGGGUUCCCCGUGCCACUGAAAUUGUACAGACGGUGGACGAAAGUAAGACAUCUUGCCCGCCCAAAU